rnacentral:rRNA from 1 species
CAGUCGCCGCGGUAAUACGGAGGGUGCAAGCGUUAAGCGGAAUUACUGGGCGUAAAGCGCACGUAGGCGGUUUGUUAAGUCAGAUGUGAAAUCCCCGAGCUUAACUUGGGAACUGCAUUUGGAACUGGCAAGCUAGAGUCUUGUAGAGGGGGGUAGAAUUCCAGGUGUAGCGGUGAAAUGCGUAGAGAUCUGGAGGAAUACCGGUGGCGAAGGCGGCCCCCUGGACAAAGACUGACGCUCAGGUGCGAAAGCGUGGGGAGCAAACAGGAUUAGAUACCCCUGUAGUCCCUGUCUCUUAUAC